CUGACAGAAGAUAGAGAGCACAGAUGGUGAAAUGCAUGAACAAGGCAGCAUCUCAAUCCUUUGUGCUCUCUGUGCUUCUGUCAU
rnacentral:miRNA from 1 species